UAAUACGAAGGGGGCUAGCGUUGUUCGGAAUUACUGGGCGUAAAGCGCGCGCAGGCGGUCUUCCAAGUCAGUGGUGAAAGCCCGGAGCUCAACUCCGGAACUGCCAUUGAAACUGUGAGACUUGAGUACGAGAGAGGUGAGUGGAAUUCCCAGUGUAGAGGUGAAAUUCGUAGAUAUUGGGAAGAACACCGGUGGCGAAGGCGGCUCACUGGCUCGUAACUGACGCUCAGGCGCGACAGCGUGGGGAUCAAACAGGAUUAGAUACCCUGGUAGUCCACGCCGUAAACGAUGAAUGCUAGCCGUUGGAUAGCUUGCUAUUCAGUGGCGCAGCUAACGCAUUAAGCAUUCCGCCUGGGGAGUACGGCCGCAAGGUUG
rnacentral:rRNA from 1 species